CAGCACCUCAAGUGGUCAGGAUGAUUAUUGGGCCUAAAGCAUCCGUAGCCUGCUUUGUCAGUUUUCGGUUAAAUCCAUACGCUCAACGUAUGGGCUGCCGGGAAUACUGCAAAGCUAGGGAGUGGGAGAGGUAGACGGUACUCGGUAGGAAGGGGUAAAAUCCUUUGAUCUAUUGAUGACCACCUGUGGCGAAGGCGGUCUACCAGAACACGUCCGACGGUGAGGGAUGAAAGCUGGGGGAGCAAACCGGAUUAGAUACCCGUGUAGUCC
rnacentral:rRNA from 1 species